UACGGAGGGUGCAAGCGUUGCUCGGAAUUAUUGGGCGUAAAGGGUAGGUAGGUGGUCUCAUUUGUCUGGGGUGAAAGCCUUGAGCUUAACUCAAGAAGUGCCCCAGAAACGGUGAGACUGGAGUCCUGGAGAGGGUCGUGGAAUUCCCGGUGUAGCGGUGAAAUGCGUAGAGAUCGGGAGGAACACCAGAGGCGAAAGCGGCGACCUGGACAGGUACUGACACUCAAGUACGAAAGCGUGGGGAGCAAACAGG
rnacentral:rRNA from 1 species